GACGAACGCUGGCGGCGCGCCUAACACAUGCAAGUCGAACGGAGAUACCAGAGGAGCUUGCUCCACCGGUAUCUUAGUGGCGGACGGGUGAGUAACACGUGAGCAACCUGCCUUUCAGAGAGGGAUAACGUUUGGAAACGAACGCUAAUACCACAUAACAUCACGAUACGGCAUCGUAUUGUGAUCAAAGGAGCAAUCCGCUGAGAGAUGGGCUCGCGUCCGAUUAGAUAGUUGGUGGGGUAACGGCUCACCAAGUCGACGAUCGGUAGCCGGACUGAGAGGUUGAACGGCCACAUUGGGACUGAGACACGGCCCAGACUCCUACGGGAGGCAGCAGUGGGGAAUAUUGCACAAUGGGGGAAACCCUGAUGCAGCGACGCCGCGUGAGGGAAGAAGGUUUUCGGAUUGUAAACCUCUGUCUUUGGUGACGAUAAUGACGGUAGCCAAAGAGGAAGCUACGGCUA
rnacentral:rRNA from 1 species